rnacentral:rRNA from 1 species
UAAGCAUAUCAAUAAGCGGAGGAAAAGAAACCAACAGGGAUUGCCCCAGUAACGGCGAGUGAAGCGGCAACAGCUCAAAUUUGAAAUCUGGCCCCAGGCCCGAGUUGUAAUUUGCAGAGGAUGCUUUUGGCGCGGUGCCUUCCGAGUUCCCUGGAACGGGACGCCAUAGAGGGUGAGAGCCCCGUACGGUUGGACACCAAGCCUUUGUAAAGCUCCUUCGACGAGUCGAGUAGUUUGGGAAUGCUGCUCUAAAUGGGAGGUACAUUUCUUCUAAAGCUAAAUAUUGGCCAGAGACCGAUAGCGCACAAGUAGAGUGAUCGAAAGAUGAAAAGCACUUUGAAAAGAGGGUUAAACAGCACGUGAAAUUGUUAAAAGGGAAGCGCUUGUGACCAGACUUGCGUCCGGUGAAUCACCCAGCUCUCGCGGCUGGGGCACUUCGCCGGCACAGGCCAGCAUCAGCUUGCCGUCGGGGACAAAAGCUUCAGGAACGUGGCUCCUCUCGGGGAGUGUUAUAGCCUGUUGCAUAAUACCCUUCGGCGGGCUGAGGUACGCGCUCCGCAAGGAUGCUGGCGUAAUGGUCAUCAGCGACCCGUCUUGAAACACGGACCAAGGAGUCAACCUUAUGUGCGAGUGUUUGGGUGUUAAACCCCUACGCGUAAUGAAAGUGAACGCAGGUGAGAGCUUCGGCGCAUCAUCGACCGAUCCUGAUGUUCUCGGAUGGAUUUGAGUAAGAGCAUAUAGGGUUGGACCCGAAAGAAGGUGAACUAUGCGUGUGUAGGGUGAAGCCAGAGGAAACUCUGGUGGAGGCUCGCAGCGGUUCUGACGUGCAAAUCGAUCGUCAAACAUGCGCAUGGGGGCGAAAGACUAAUCGAACCUUCUAGUAGCUGGUUUCCGCCGAA